AGAGUUUGAUCAUGGCUCAGAUUGAACGCUGGCGGCGUGCUUAACACAUGCAAAGUCGUGCGAGAGAGGGGACUUCGGUCCCUGAGUAGAGCGGCGCACGGGUGAGUAACGCGUGGAUAAUCUCCCCAGAAAGUUCGGGAUAACGGCGGGAAACUGCCGCUAAUACCGGAUACGCUCCAAUUUCGGUUGGGGGAAAAGGCGGCCUCUGUUUACAAGCUGUCGCUUCUGGAUGAGUCCGCGUCCCAUUAGCUUGUUGGUGGGGUAAUGGCCUACCAAGGCUACGAUGGGUAGCUGGUCUGAGAGGAUGAUCAGCCACACUGGAACUGAAACACGGUCCAGACUCCUACGGGAGGCAGCAGUGGGGAAUAUUGCGCAAUGGGGGAAACCCUGACGCAGCGACGCCGUGUGAGGGAUGAAGGCUUUCGGGUCGUAAACCUCUGUCGGGAGGGAAGAACCUUCUAAGUCCUAAUAAGACU
rnacentral:rRNA from 1 species